rnacentral:lncRNA from 1 species
AUUGUGACUAAAGUAAGUCAAACGUGAAAUAUGAGAUUGAUAUGAUUGUUAACAUGUACAAACGAGUAUGCUAAUAAGAGUGUGAUUUCGACGAAAUGGAAGUAUAGGAAUCAAGUCGAGACGGGCUCAAGCACGAGGUGUUAACGGCCAAGAGGAAGCAAGGGAUCGGAUAUGAACACGGAUGCAUGAGGAACGAGUACAUCGGAUUCUUACGAAAUUUAAGCCCAACCCGGAAUAAGAGGAUGAGUAAGGAUAGUGAUACACGGACUUCUUCUGCUACUUAGGAAGUGAAGCGGACGUAGAUCGAGUCAAGA